rnacentral:misc_RNA from 1 species
AUUAUGGCUGAAAUCUCAGAAGUCAAAGCAGAGAUAAUUGGCUGUGCUUCAGAAACCAUCAAAACCAUUUCCUCGGUAGUGUACCCUGCUAUUGAUGGGUGCAAUAAGCAGCGUCUUGCCUGUAUUUAUGGCCUCCUCUNNNNGCUACUUGCAGCUGGAGGAAACUAAGCAAUCACUGCAAGCAAUAGAAGAAUGUUCAUCCCC